rnacentral:rRNA from 1 species
GACGAACGCUGGCGGCGUGCUUAACACAUGCAAGUCGAACGGAAAGGCUCUGCUUUUGUGGGGUGCUCGAGUGGCGAACGGGUGAGUAACACGUGAGUAACCUGCCCUUGACUAUGGGAUAACUUCAGGAAACUGGGGCUAAUACCGGAUAGGAGCUCCUGCUGCACGGUGGGGGUUGGAAAGUUUCGGCGGUUGGGGAUGGACUCGCGGCUUAUCAGCUUGUUGGUGGGGUAGUGGCUUACCAAGGCUUCGACGGGUAGCCGGCCUGAGAGGGUGACCGGCCACAUUGGGACAGAGGUACGGCCCAGACUCCUACGGGGGGCAGCGGUGGGAGAUAUUGCACAAUGGGCGGAAGCCUGAUGCAGCAACGCCGCGUGCGGGAUAACCGCCUUCGGGUUGUAAACCGCUUUCGCCUGUGACGAAGCGUGGCUGACGGUAAUGGGUAAAGAAGCACCGGCUAACUACGUG